CGCCUGUUUAUCAAAAACAUCUUUUCUUGUUAGUUUUUGAAGUAUGGCCUGCCCGCUGACUUUGGUGUUGAAGGGCCGCGGUAUUUUGACCGUGCAAAGGUAGCAUAGUCAUUAGUUCUUUAAUUGUGAUCUGGUAUGAAUGGCUUGACGAGGCAUGGGCUGUCUUAAUUUUGAAUUGUUUAUUGAAUUUGGUCUUUGAGUUAAAAUUCUUAGAUGUUUUUAUGGGACGAGAAGACCCUAUAGAGUUUGACAUUUAUUAUGGUCUNUUUCNUGUUUGUGAGGGUUCGCUGGGCCAUUUAAUAUGUUUUGUUGGGGUGAUGGGAGGGAUAUAAUUUAACCCCUCCUUUGUGUUGUUAUAUUUAUUUAUAUUUGUUUGAUCCAUUUAUUUUGAUUGUAAGAUUAAAUUACCUUAGGGAUAACAGCGUAA
rnacentral:rRNA from 1 species